rnacentral:lncRNA from 1 species
GAUUUGGGGUCAGGGUCCGGAUUUGGGAUUUGGGAUCUGGAUCCGGAUUUGGGGUCAGGGUCCAGCGCUGGGAUCUGCAGUGGGGGCGCGGGGCCCCGCGUGGUUCCUGGUCUUCUCUCAGAUCCCCAACCCCGCGCCCGCUCCCACCCGCGUCCCCAGCCGGGUGUCACCGUGUCACCACUGCGGUGUCACCGGGGCACCGUGUCCCCAAGAAGAGGUCACCACGUCAUGGUGUCCCCAACGCGAUGUCACCAGGACAUGGUGUCCCCAACGUGAUGUCACCGUGUCCCCAAUACGAUGUCACCAGGACGUGAUGUCCCCAGAGUGAUGUCACCAGGGCAUGGUGUCCCCAAUGCAAUGUCACCAUGUCCCCAACGCGAUGUCACCUGGACAUGAUGUCCCCAGCGCCAUGUCACCAAGACGUGAUGUCCCCAGAGUGAUGUCACCAGGACAUGGUGUCCCCAACGCAAUGUCACCGUGUCCCCAACACGAUGUCACCUGGACAUGAUGUCCCCAGUGCAAUGUCACCGUGUCCCCAACACGAUGUCACCAGGACAUGGUGUCCCCAGCGCGAUGUCACCGGGACAUGGUGUCCCCAACGUGAUGUCACCGGGACAUGGUGUCCCCAGCAUGAUGUCACCGUGUCCCCAGCACGAUGUCACCAGGACAUGGUGUCACCAACACGGUGUCACCGGGACACGAUGUCACCAUGGAGACGCCAGCAGGACACAGUGUCACCCAUGAGAUGUCGCCAGGGCACAGUGUCCCCAAGGAGAUGUCACCACGCCAUGGUGUCCCCAGCGAGGUGUCCCCAUGCCAUGGGGUGUCACCGUGUCACCGAGCCUUCACCUGGACGUGAUGUCCCCAGCGCGAUGUCACCAGGGCACGGUGUCACCAACACGAUGUCACCACGCCGUGGUG